rnacentral:lncRNA from 1 species
CUGCUGGCGGCGAUCAUCCUGGGGGGAACUGGCUGGGGAUUUAAAAACAUCCGAAAAGGAAGAUCUUCGGGAGUCUGAGUCCCGUCUCUCUGCUGCCCUGUCUUCCUCACACUGUGCCCAGUCCGGUCUGAGGAGACGGAAACAAAGACGUCUUCCAGUCUGGAGCCCUCAGACCCUUUUCUGUUUCCUGCUCUCUGCUCUUCGCCACACGUCUG